rnacentral:rRNA from 1 species
GAUGAACGCUGGCGGCGUGCCUAAUACAUGCAAGUCGAGCGAACAGACGAGGAGCUUGCUCCUCUGACGUUAGCGGCGGACGGGUGAGUAACACGUGGAUAACCUACCUAUAAGACUGGGAUAACUUCGGGAAACCGGAUCUAAUACCGGAUAAUAUAUUGAACCGCAUGGUUCAAUAGUGAAAGACGGUUUUGCUGUCACUAAUAGAUGGAUCCGCGCCGCAUUAGCUAGUUGGUAAGGUAACGGCUUACCAAGGCUACGAUGCGUAGCCGACCUGAGAGGGUGAUCGGCCACACUGGAACUGAGACACGGUCCAGACUCCUACGGGAGGCAGCAGUAGGGAAUCUUCCGCAAUGGGCGAAAGCCUGACGGAGCAACGCCGCGUGAGUGAUGAAGGUCUUCGGAUCGUAAAACUCUGUUAUUAGGGAAGAACAAAUGUGUAAGUAACUAUGCACGUCUUGACGGUACCUAAUCAGAAAGCCACGGCUAACUACGUG